rnacentral:misc_RNA from 1 species
AUCCCAUAAACCGUGGCUCAGUUCAGAUCGUAGGCUGCAACUCGCCUACGUGAAGGCGGAAUCGCUAGUAAUCGCAGGUCAGCAUACUGCGGUGAAUACGUUCCCGGGCCUUGUACACACCGCCCGUCACACCAUGGAAGUUGGCCACGCCCGAAGCCGUUACUCCAACCCUUGUGGAGGAGGACGUCGAAGGUGGGGCUGAUGACUGGGGUGAAGUCGUAACAAGGUAUCCGUACCGGAAGGUGCGGAUGGAUCACCUCCUAACAGGGAGACAACACAAUGAUUUUGAUGCUUGAGUGCUUUUAUUCUUAAGCCGAAAUCCUGUCACCUUAGGUCGAUCGGUACCUCAGCUUUGAAGUCAAGGAUCAGCAGCAAUGUUGAUUGCUUGAUGGAGAUUUUCAGUUCCUAAACUUUGUCUAGGUCACACCCCAAAAGGGAUGAGACUUCUGGGCCAUUAGCUCAGGUGGUUAGAGCGCACCCCUGAUAAGGGUGAGGUCCCUGGUUCAAGUCCAGGAUGGCCCAUUCGGUGUUGGGGGUUUAGCUCAGUUGGUAGAGCGCCUGCUUUGCAAGCAGGAUGUCAGGAGUUCGAGUCUCCUAACCUCCACUGACCGAACUUGAUUCCCAUCUCCAAUUUUUUGGAGUUGAGCUCGAUUGGAGUGUGAUUUAGAUGUGUCCGCUGGAUGACCCCAGCUUCCUGUCAUUCCAAGUUUUAGAUUUUAAGUCUUAAAUUUGGUUGAUAAGAUGCUGGGC